GUAUUACUUCUUUUAGUAAACCCGAUUUAUUUGUCUUAUUUAUGUGAUUUUUUUCCUUUUAGUGUUGUUUUAAUUCAAACCUCUUAGACUUCUCUAUUAAUCAUUAGUACUCUACUUUGUCCUUUCCUCUUCUCCAUGAACCCUUCUUUUCCGUUUUGUCACUUUUUCCCUUUCCGAUCUCUUCCUUUUCUUUUCAAACCCUUAUCCUUCUUCUCUACUCUAUUUGCUUCUUCUCAUAUUCUUCUUCUAUUAGAACAUGCCUAGAACUCAUCGCAUGGGUUCUCUAAAGAACUAUGAUCUUAAAUCUUCGAGUUCCUUCGAGGUAAACGUUUUGUCUUCUUCCUACUCCUCUGAUAUUUCCUUCAUAUCUUUCUCCCCUUCUUCCAAAAGUAGAGCUUCAUCCGCAAAAAAAAAGUAUGAGAAAAAACCUCGAUCGAGCGCAUCAGGAUAUCUUCUCUAGAAGACAUGUAAAGGUUUUGGGGAGUUGAAAAUAGCUUCAAGUAUCGACCUAUUGUUCCUGGUAAUGAAUAGGUUGAAAAGGACAUUUCACUGUCAAAGCCAGGGAUGAAACUGUCAAACUAGCUAAGAUCAUUGCAGAGUCAGUUGCUCUCCUGCUACAAGACACGGAUGAACUCUAAACUCGCAUUAAGAUUGAAGUGAUUAUUUAUUAUGGUUUUUAUGUUGAAAUCCCCAAGAACCCAUGAAAUCCCUAUAAAUUCCAAUUAUGAUCUUGUGAUGAGGAUUUAUGGGUGAAAGAAGGAUAUUAUAAGAUUAUGCUUGUAGUAAUUGGGUUACUUGAAUUAUGCUAAUAUUCAUGUCUAAUAUAGUGAAUUCUAGAUAUGUUGAUUCAAUAUGAGUUUUGAUCCUUGAAAGGGAAAAUUAUGAUAUUAUGCAUGUUUUAUGAAGAUUAUGUAUAUGUUUUAAGAACACUUUGAGAGUGAAGUGAAAAUGAUUCUGAUCUA